rnacentral:rRNA from 1 species
CAGUCGCCGCGGUAAUACGGAGGGUGCAAGCGUUAAUCUGAAUUACUGGGCGUAAAGCGCACGCAGGCGGUCUGACAAGUCAGAUGUGAAAUCCCCGGGCUUAACCUGGGAACUGCAUUUGAAACUGUCAGGCUGGAGUCUUGUAGAGGGGGGUAGAAUUCCAGGUGUAGCGGUGAAAUGCGUAGAGAUCUGGAGGAAUACCGGUGGCGAAGGCGGCCCCCUGGACAAAGACUGACGCUCAGGUGCGAAAGCGUGGGGAGCAAACAGGAUUAGAUACCCGUGUAGUCCCUGUCUCUUAUAC